rnacentral:lncRNA from 13 species
CUGCUGUGGGAUCCCCAUGGUGUUUGUUUAUCUCUGUCUCCUCUGCAACACACCCUGAUCAAUCUCCACUGAUAUUUGUAGUCAUUUUGACACUUUGAGGUCUGGGGUUUUAACUUUCUUCUUGUUUUACUAAAAAUGAAUUAAAGAAAAUCUUUUUCUUCUCCUUUAUUGCUUCUGUAUUUCCAAGAAGAAAAUGGUAGAAAUGCUGAGUUUACAUUUCAUGUGAAAACUUGAGUCCUACUCAGAAAUGUUGGAUUGUCCAACAUUUCUAACAACACUUAGAAAUCAAGUUAUUUUGUUUGAUUAUCUGAGAUUUUAAUCAGUCUUUUCUUCUUUUUCGAAGAAUGGUAUACUUCCUACUAUACUCAUUAUAACUAGAUUGGCUGGUGAAAUAAAUGGCCUUUAAGAUUGGCCUCAAUGUUUUUGAAAAUUAGGGAAUGGUUUAAUAACAAUAUUUAAACACCGUUAUCCAUUACCAUUUUGGUACUUAAUAACUGUUAGGCAUCAUGGUAUUCUCAUUGCCAACAUACUUUAUUUUUCUUUCUUAAAAGUAUAUUUUAUUGGUACAUAAUAGUUGUACAUAUUUUCAUACUUAAUAUUAAAAUGCUGACCAUACCUUUGCUUGGUGUUUCGUUGUUGAUGAAUUCUAGAUGGAUGAUGUAGUCUCUUUUAUAUCUGCAGGCAGAUGGAGUUAUUGUUAUGGUGUUUAGGACAAGCCAAUUGUGUUAAAGCAUGUGACACACCUAAUUUCAGAAACCAGAGGGGAAAUCACCACUUAUUCAAGUUCAAGCUAUGAGAGGCCGAACCCUAAGCUGCUCCAGUGACUGGUAUAUGCAUCAUGCAUGCCCUGUCUAAUCAUCUGCCGUGAGUGUGGGUGAGACCUGAGAAUAUGAUGAACGUCAUUCUCUUGAUUAUGUUACCUUAGAUGGCAAAGAUGAGUUGUCACCCACCCAUGAUUACAUUAUGUAGUAUAAGACUCCAUGGUAGCAGGCUGGAGAGAGAGACAUUCUCCUGGAACAACUGAAAGGCACCGCAGAAACAAACUUCCAUUUUUUGAGAGGGUCACAGGCUAGGGCCUGAGGGUAGCUCUGGAGCUGGCAUUUACCCCUGCCUGACAGCCAGUGAGAGCACGAAGACCUGAGCGCUAGAACUGCAAGGAUUUAAUUCCUGCCCCAAACCAUAUGAUCCUGGACGAGGACCCCAGCUCCAGACACCACAGGCUGACAACUUGAUUACAGCCAUGCAAAGCCCUGAGGAAUGGACCCAGUCAAGCUGUAUCUGAACUCCUGGUCCAUGGCAACUGUGAGCUAACCAAGUGUGUGUUGUUUCAAAGUCCUAAGUUUGUUAUUUGUUGCAUAGCAAAAGAUAACUCAUGCACCACCUUAAAACAUUCUCCUUAGGAGCUAACAUUUCUUGUUUCAUGGGAUAGUAUUGUGCCAUCUAUGCCACCCAAGGUAUCUGUUUCGACCGCUUCUACUUCGUCUCUUGCCUAUCCUUGACAA